ACAUGCUUAUAGCAUAGCGUUAAUGCAUUGGAUCCCAUUAGAACUCCGCAGUUAAGCACGCUCAGGCUAGAGUAGUAUUGGGAUGGGUGACUACUCAGAAUUUAUCCCACAUGAAUCAUGGG
rfam:Picea glauca, whole genome shotgun sequence.